AUUGAACGCUGGCGGCAGGCCUAACACAUGCAAGUCGAGCGAAGCCUUCGGGUCUAGUGGCGGACGGGUGAGUAACGCGUGGGAACGUGCCCUUUGGUUCGGAAUAGCCGCGGGAAACUGGGAGGAAUACCGGAUAAGCCCUACGGGGGAAAGAUUUAUCGCCAAAGGAUCGGCCCGCGUUGGAUUAGGUAGUUGGUGGGGUAAUGGCCUACCAAGCCGCGGAUCCAUAGCUGGUGUGAGAGGAUGAUCAGCCACACUGGGAAUGAGACACGGCCCAGACUCCUACGGGAGGCAGCAGUGGGGAAUCUUAGACAAUGGGGGAAACCCUGAUCUAGCCAUGCCGCGUGAUCGAUGAAGGCCUUAGGGUUGUAAAGAUCUUUCAGUGGGGAAGAUAAUGACUGUACCCACAGAAGAAGCCCCGGCUAACUCCGUGCCAGCCGCCCGCAGUAACAC
rnacentral:rRNA from 1 species